AGCGAACGCUAGCGGCGGGCCUAACACAUGCAAGUCGAGCGCAUACCUUCGGGUAUGAGCGGCGGACGGGUGAGUAACGCGUAGGUCAUCUACCCUUUGGUGGGGGAUAACCCAGGGAAACUUGGGCUAAUACCGCAUGAGGUCCACGGAUCAAAGCCUUCGGGCGCCAGAGGAUGAGCCUGCGUCGCAUUACCUAGUUGGCGGGGUAACGGCCCACCAAGGGGACGAUGCGUAGCUGGUCUGAGAGGAUGAUCAGCCACACUGGGACUGAGACACGGCCCAGACUCCUACGGGAGGCAGCAGUGGGGAAUAUUGCGCAAUGGGGGAAACCCUGACGCAGCCACGCCGCGUGGGUGAUGAAGGCCUUCGGGUUGUAAAGCCCUGUCGGGAGGGACGAAUUCUUGACGGUACCUCCAAAGAAAGCACCGGCUAACUCCGUGCCAGCAGCCGCGGUAAU
rnacentral:rRNA from 1 species